rnacentral:rRNA from 10 species
CUCGUCUGAUCUCGGAAGCUAAGCAGGGUCGGGCCUGGUUAGUACUUGGAUGGGUGACCGCCUGGGAAUACCAGGU